UCGUAGAGCCACAAACCCCAGUAUCUGAACUGACAACAGUUUUGAAAACAACAGAUGUUGAAUCCAGUGCAACAACCAGAAAAGCAUCAACUGCAGAACCAGAAGAUUCAACAAUUACUCUGGGAAAUCCAAAAUUAACGACGAUUAUGUGCCAACUAACAAACCAGAGAGCGGAGGCCAAUCUAAAGGGAAGCCUCUUAUACGAAGUCGAGCUCGAGAAGUGUUGAUAAUAAUGCAGAUCAUAAACUGAGAAAUAAGAAGAGAUUGGAAAUGAGAAUGUAUAUCAGUAGGGCGAAUAUAUUCUAACGCAUCGGUAAUAUGUUUUUCGAUCAUAUUUGUUAGCUUGUCGUUAUGUUAAUACUUUCAUUUAUGAGAUAAACAUUACUUAUGCUUUAUAAAUAUAUUUGCUCGUUCUAUAUGGAAAUUCUUAUUUUGUUCUUAUAUGCAUCACUGACAGUAACAUGAGGCAUAAUAGUAAUACAGAAAUAAAGAUAGAAGUACAUAAUUUCUUGUCAUGAUUUUGUAAUGCAAUUUAAGAUUAAUGUUUGAGAAAACUUUGUAAGUAAUUUUGGUAGGAUGAGGAUGAUAUUUGAUCUUGAUGUACAUCUUUGUUGAACCUAUGGUAUUCUUUAGAAUUGAUAAAUUAUGCAUCAACUGUGACCAUCCAGUUAUUUGUUCAUCAGAAAAUGAAAAUAGUAUAGAAAGAAAUCAAUUAUAACUUAACA